AGUGAACGCUGGCGGUAGGCCUAACACAUGCAAGUCGAACGGCAGCACAGUAAGAGCUUGCUCUUACGGGUGGCGAGUGGCGGACGGGUGAGGAAUACAUCGGAAUCUACUUUUUCGUGGGGGAUAACGUAGGGAAACUUACGCUAAUACCGCAUAUGACCUACGGGUGAAAGCAGGGGAUCUUCGGACCUUGCGCGAUUGAAUGAGCCGAUGUCGGAUUAGCUAGUUGGCGGGGUAAAGGCCCACCAAGGCGACGAUCCGUAGCUGGUCUGAGAGGAUGAUCAGCCACACUGGAACUGAGACACGGUCCAGACUCCUACGGGAGGCAGCAGUGGGGAAUAUUGGACAAAGGGCGCAAGCCUGAUCCAGCCAUACCGCGUGGGUGAAGAAGGCCUUCGGGUUGUAAAGCCCUUUUGUUGGGAAAGAAAAGCAGCAGGUUAAUACCCCGCUGUUCUGACGGUACCCAAAGAAUAAGCACCGGCUAACUUCAUG
rnacentral:rRNA from 1 species